UUUGCCUCCUGCCCCUCCCUCUGUCCUGAAGGAUCCUGGGAUGCGGGGAGGGGGAAGGGGGGAUGGAAAAGCAAGGUUGAGAAGAGGAAAGCCAGAUGCUACACUCCCUUUCUCCCUGAAAGUUUCUGAACCAAGCCAAGCCUAACCUCUGGCCAUAAACAAGAGAACUACAACUUGAAUGUUUGUAUCCCUCCAAAAUCAUGUUGACACUUAAUCUCCACUGGAACACACUAAGAGUUUCUGAUGCAUUCCAUUUGUGGAGAACCGCAGCUUAUACUCAUCACAUAUUUAUAAUACCUUAGCUAUGAGGUGGGGCAGACAGUCACUUGGAGGCUUGGUGUUCACCUAUGUAAAGCCAAUGGAAGGUCUGCGCUGUGAUUGGCAUCUGUCACUGGUCAGACAAGAAGACACUUUUAAUGGGGCCUCUGAAGAAACACAGAUCAGCCUUUUGUCCUAAUUUGAUGUGUGCAGCAAAGAACAAAUGACCCCAUGACUCCAGUGGUCUUCUGAAAAGGCUGGGAGAGUCUCAGGGACUACACAGAGCUACAUCCAUUUAAAUUUAGGGGAAAAAAUUAGAACUUUUUACUUGCUCU